GGUUUGGUAUAGUCUGGUAGGCCAAGAGCAGGAGCAGAAGCAAUAGCACGUUUGAGAGAACAGAAGUUGUCAAGGGCUUCUGUGGACAAGCAAAAUGGGUCUGACUUGAGAGCAUCAUAAAGAGGUUGCAUAAGGAGUGAGGCUUCUGGGAUCCAUGCUCGGCAAUAGGAAAUGAGGCCUAGGAAGGCGUGUAGUGACUUCGAGGUUCUUGGAGGUGGAAUGUCCAGUACCGCUCAAACUCGGUCACGGGUAAGAUGUCUGGUUCCC